AUUGAACGCUGGCGGCAGGCCUAACACAUGCAAGUCGAGCGGUAGCACAGAGAGCUUGCUCUCGGGUGACGAGCGGCGGACGGGUGAGUAAUGUCUGGGAAACUGCCUGAUGGAGGGGGAUAACUACUGGAAACGGUAGCUAAUACCGCAUAAUGUCGCAAGACCAAAGUGGGGGACCUUCGGGCCUCAUGCCAUCAGAUGUGCCCAGAUGGGAUUAGCUAGUAGGUGGGGUAACGGCUCACCUAGGCGACGAUCCCUAGCUGGUCUGAGAGGAUGACCAGCCACACUGGAACUGAGACACGGUCCAGACUCCUACGGGAGGCAGCAGUGGGGAAUAUUGCACAAUGGGCGCAAGCCUGAUGCAGCCAUGCCGCGUGUGUGAAGAAGGCCUUCGGGUUGUAAAGCACUUUCAGCGGGGAGGAAGGCGGUGAGGUUAAUAACCUCAUCGAUUGACGUUACCCGCAGAAGAAGCACCGGCUAACUCCGUGCCAGCAGCCGCGGUAAUACGGAGGGUGCAAGCGUUAAUCGGAAUUACUGGGCGUAAAGCGCACGCAGGCGGUCUGUCAAGUCGGAUGUGAAAUCCCCGGGCUCAACCUGGGAACUGCAUUCGAAACUGGCAGGCUAGAGUCUUGUAGAGGGGGGUAGAAUUCCAGGUGUAGCGGUGAAAUGCGUAGAGAUCUGGAGGAAUACCGGUGGCGAAGGCGGCCCCCUGGACAAAGACUGACGCUCAGGUGCGAAAGCGUGGGGAGCAAACAGGAUUAGAUACCCUGGUAGUCCACGCCGUAAACGAUGUCGAUUUGGAGGUUGUGCCCUUGAGGCGUGGCUUCCGGAGCUAACGCGUUAAAUCGACCGCCUGGGGAGUACGGCCGCAAGGUUAAAACUCAAAUGAAUUGACGGGGGCCCGCACAAGCGGUGGAGCAUGUGGUUUAAUUCGAUGCAACGCGAAGAACCUUACCUGGUCUUGACAUCCACAGAACUUAGCAGAGAUGCUUUGGUGCCUUCGGGAACUGUGAGACAGGUGCUGCAUGGCUGUCGUCAGCUCGUGUUGUGAAAUGUUGGGUUAAGUCCCGCAACGAGCGCAACCCUUAUCCUUUGUUGCCAGCGGUCCGGCCGGGAACUCAAAGGAGACUGCCAGUGAUAAACUGGAGGAAGGUGGGGAUGACGUCAAGUCAUCAUGGCCCUUACGACCAGGGCUACACACGUGCUACAAUGGCAUAUACAAAGAGAAGCGACCUCGCGAGAGCAAGCGGACCUCAUAAAGUAUGUCGUAGUCCGGAUUGGAGUCUGCAACUCGACUCCAUGAAGUCGGAAUCGCUAGUAAUCGUGGAUCAGAAUGCCACGGUGAAUACGUUCCCGGGCCUUGUACACACCGCCCGUCACACCAUGGGAGUGGGUUGCAAAAGAAGUAGGUAGCUUAACCUUCGGGAGGGCGCUUACCACUUUGUGAUUCAUGACUGGGGUGA
rnacentral:rRNA from 1 species